UGCCUACGGGGCGCAGCAGUGGGGAAUAUUGCAAAAUGGGCGAAAGCCUGAUGCAGCAACGCCGCGUGAGCGAUGAAGGCCUUCGGGUCGUAAAGCUCUGUCCUCAAGGAAGAUAAUGACGGUACUUGAGGAGGAAGACCCGGCUAACUACGUGCCAGCAGCAGCGGCAAUACGUAGGGGGCUAGCGUUAUCCGGAAUUACUGGGCGUAAAGGGUGCGUAGGUGGUGUCGUAAGUCAGAGGUGAAAGGCUACGG
rnacentral:rRNA from 1 species